rnacentral:rRNA from 1 species
CCUACGGGAGGCAGCAGUGGGGAAUAUUGCACAAUGGGGGAAACCCUGAUGCAGCGACGCCGCGUGAGUGAAGAAGUAAUUCGUUACGUAAAGCUCUAUCAGCAGGGAAGAAAAUGACGGUACCUGACUAAGAAGCCCCGGCUAACUACGUGCCAGCAGCCGCGGUAAUACGUAGGGGGCAAGCGUUAUCCGGAUUUACUGGGUGUAAAGGGAGCGUAGACGGCGGGGCAAGUCUGGAGUGAAAGGCCGCGGCUUAACGUCGGGACUGCUUUUGAAACUGUGGAGCUAGAGUGGCGGAGAGGUAGGCGGAAUUCCUAGUGUAGCGGUGAAAUGCGUAGAUAUUAGGAGGAACACCAGUGGCGAAGGCGGCCUACUGGACGGUGACUGACGUUGAGGCUCGAAAGCGUGGGGAGCAAACAGGAUUAGAUACCCUAGUAGUC